rnacentral:rRNA from 1 species
GUAGUCCACGCCGUAAACGAUGUCGACUUGGAGGUUGUUCCCUUGAGGAGUGGCUUCCGGAGCUAACGCGUUAAGUCGACCGCCUGGGGAGUACGGCCGCAAGGUUAAAACUCAAAUGAAUUGACGGGGGCCCGCACAAGCGGUGGAGCAUGUGGUUUAAUUCGAUGCAACGCGAAGAACCUUACCUACUCUUGACAUCCAGAGAACUUAGCAGAGAUGCUUUGGUGCCUUCGGGAACUCUGAGACAGGUGCUGCAUGGCUGUCGUCAGCUCGUGUUGUGAAAUGUUGGGUUAAGUCCCGCAACGAGCGCAACCCUCAUCCUUUGUUGCCAGCGGUUCGGCCGGGAACUCAAAGGAGACUGCCAGUGAUAAACUGGAGGAAGGUGGGGAUGACGUCAAGUCAUCAUGGCCCUUACGAGUAGGGCUACACACGUGCUACAAUGGCGCAUACAAAGAGAAGCGACCUCGCGAGAGCAAGCGGACCUCAUAAAGUGCGUCGUAGUCCGGAUCGGAGUCUGCAACUCGACUCCGUGAAGUCGGAAUCGCUAGUAAUCGUAGAUCAGAAUGCUACGGUGAAUA